UUAGAGCCCCACAGAGAGAAAAGUUUAUUCUGGUUAUGAUGGAUCAGAAGAAUUCACCCCGACAAAUUAACCCCAGAGGAUAAUUUAGACGACACGAUGCGCCAGGGGGAGAGUCUCCUUUAUGACGUUAAUAACGCAGAGCUGAUGUGUUAUAACUGAUGGAGGUCUGUCGAACCAUCAACAGAGCGCUGCGGGGAGGGACUCGCGUUACACGUUUGUGGCGAGGCGAGACCGUCGCUCCUGCAAGAUGCC